UACGAGGAGGGCUAGCGUUGCUCGGAAUUACUGGGCGUAAAGCGUGCGCAGGCGGCUUUGCAAGACAGAUGUGAAAUCCCCGGGCUUAACCUGGGAACUGCAUUUGUGACUGCAUGGCUGGAGUGCGGCAGAGGGGGAUGGAAUUCCGCGUGUAGCAGUGAAAUGCGUAGAGAUGUGGAGGAAUACCGAUGGCGAAGGCAGCAUCCUGGGAAGUUCCUGACGCUCGGGUGCGAAAGCCAGGGGAGCGAACGGG
rnacentral:rRNA from 1 species